rnacentral:rRNA from 1 species
GGGGAAUUUUGGGCAAUGGGCGAAAGCCUGACCCAGCAACGCCGCGUGAGGGAGGAAAUCCUUCGGGAUGUAAACCUCGCAAGCAAGGGAAGAAUGCUUAGAACCUAAUACAUUCUGAGAGGGACGGUACCUUGCGUAAGCCACGGCUAACUACGUGCCAGCAGCCGCGGUAAUACGUAGGUGGCAAGCGUUGUUCGGAAUUAUUGGGCGUAAAGAGUGCGUAGGCGGUCCUGUAAGUUUGGUGUGAAAUCUCCCGGCUCAACUGGGAGGGUGCGCCGAAGACUGCAGGGCUUGAGUAUGGGAGAGGUAAGCGGAAUUCCUGGUGUAGCGGUGAAAUGCGUAGAUAUCAGGAGGAACACCUGUGGUGUAGACAGCUUACUGGACCAUCACUGACGCUGAGGCACGAAAGCGUGGGGAGCGAAC